rnacentral:precursor_RNA from 10 species
GCUUUUUCUCAAUGACAAGCUUGGAAUGGUAGUUUUUCCUUUGGCCAGCUAUCUCGUGCAAUUCUGAGCUGAGAGCUGCCAAAUGAAGGGCUGUUGUUUCUGCUCACCAAGCAAACUUCAUCAA